rnacentral:lncRNA from 1 species
CUCCAGUCCUUCCCCUACACCUUUCCUGUGCACACCCCUUUAAUGAAGUGUAAAAAUAGAUAUCUUUUGUGAUAUGUUUCUACACUUUCCUAAUGAGCAACGUAAUAACACUUUUAGUUUCAUCAUUGGUCUGCAACAACCACCCUAGCUGUCCUUGCCUUUCUCCAGAUUAGCUUCAGAGCACCACAGUUAUCCUGCCAGCCACCCCACAGUUGCCUAAGAAAAUAUUUGCAUGUCCAUACAUUUUCUGCUAUCUAACACUGUGUGUAUGAAACUCACUCUUAGAAGACAUUUCUCUGGCAGCCUGGAAAAUGCCAGUAUUCCUGUGUGCAAUGAGGAUAAAUGAAGAUUUACUUCUUGCUUGUCAUUUCUCUGGAGUGUUCAGCAUGGAAGGAGAUUGCUAAUGCUUGUCUGGUCCCCUAUGGACCACUGCCUUCCGCACAAGGAAAGGCUGGCAGCACAUGGAGGAAAAUCAUGCAACUCUUCUUCCGUAGGGAUGACUCCUCUGGGAGAAGGUUGGGGCGCACGGGCACAGUGUUGGGAGGGAAGUCUUUCUCUGUUGCAGAGGAGAAGUAGAGGAUUUUGGUGUUCAUGACCUUUUACCUGGCUGCUCUCUUCAACCCACAGUCCUAAAAAAUUAAUUGUCUGGAAAAGAUAUGAAACAGGAUUGAGUUCCUCAAAGGGACUCUCCUCUCGGCUGCUACAGGAUCUGCUGACUGCACACAUUCUGUCCUCUCUCUUGCCUGGCUCCCAGUUAUCUCCUUCCCUCCUCGAAAGUUUAUGAUUUUACUUUUGUGAAAUUUCUUAGCUUCUCACUUGGGGACUGAAGGAUGUUUCAUGAGCAGAAAUGGAGCAAAUGACUUUCCCUAUAACAGAUGAUACUGGAUAUCAACAAACAAAGAAAAAAAAAAAGCUGCAUCUAGAUCCUGCCAGAAGGCCUUUCUCCACUGAAGUGUGUGCCCAGCCAGCAAGUAUAUGAAGAGACAUGUUCGAGAGCAGAUGGGCCAAGGUGAGCCUGAAUCUCACUAGUCCAUGGUCACCUCAAAGACUGGGUAUGGGAAAUAUUCUCUAUUACAAUUAAAUCUGUUUUUUUCCUUAUUUCCCAUUCCCUUGGGUGAGAAAUCUAACUCUCUGGAGUGUAAAAACACAUGUUAUGGAGGUCUUUGGUUGAUGAUAACUCUGGUCACACAAGAGCUUUCUUCCACAGUAGUUUCUCUGUGCUUUGUUUGUUGUUGUUUUGUUUGUUUUAACAACCACAUUGGCUGUAACAGCAGAAAAUACAACCUUAUGUAAAAAAAAAAUACCAAACAAAACAACAACCAAAAACCCAGCACAUACACUGGAUUAACCUCGUGAGAAACUGGCAGGAGAAUGCCCUCCCUUAAAUCAUAUACUUGUACUCCCCCACAGCUGUGAUAAAAUAAAAUGAAAAAGAGUGUCCUCAAUUUUUCUUUCACCAAUGUGUUACGAAGUUGUCAGGCCAGGCCUGGUGGUAGGGCAGCAGAUGACUAAUAGCUGUGUUUUUUAAUUAAACACUAUCAGAAGAAAUGAUAGAUUAGUGUUCCCACCCCCUGCAUUUCCCAGAACAUUUCAAAAUUACUUUUUGAAAAAUGGACUUCAAAAGAAAAAAGAAAAAAAAAAAAAGCAUGAAACAAUGAUGGGAAUUUCUUGUCUUUCUGGACCAGAAUAAAAGCUUUCUGGCUGUCAGAAGGAAAAUUUAUAUUUAUUUAUGUAUUUAUCACAUUUCAACCGAUACAGGUCUGAUUUGUACCUGGUUGGGAUUUCUACAGCAGAGCUGGAUCUCACCUUCGUAGGUCUCUGUCUUACUGCAAGCAUUUCUACUGCCACAGGAGAUGUUUUUCUUCUGUAAGUUAGCUCCCUGCAGGAAACUCUUCAGUUGUUUUGUAGGUGGAUGGACACUCAAGAUGCCCUAUAGGAGGAAGUCAAGUUGCACUUCGCUUUCUCCUGCAGAUGAACAGUGAACACUUCUUAGAAGAGAAGGCAUAACAUGAUUCAUCUCAAUAACCCUCACAUAUGCACUGCUGAAUCUAGACUACGUGCCUCAACUCUCCCUAUGGGCAAUGGGGAGAAGAAGGUCAUUCUGGACAGUCCUGGAGUCCACCCAUUAGCCUGAGGAUGUUUCUUGUGCCCCGGCUGUAAAAUGGGAAGAUUUCACCAAACAUAACCUGGACACUGUGUGAUGAACAUAGUACUGCAGUCAUUCAGCUGUACAAGCAACUGCUUACAGAAGAGCCUUCUGUAUGUACGCAGGUUGUGAUCAUUUAUUAGAGGCAAACUGCUGCCUGCUUUUCUUUGUCCCUCUUUUGUGGCAGGAGGCAUAAAAGCCCAGCUCCUCUUCCUCUUUCCUCGUGACAUUAUUAUGUAAAUCAUCGUAUCACCAAGAAUAAGCACUUUGCCUAUGCCUGAGAAGAGAUGUUAUCUGGGAUUCUCAACUUACAAUUAAAAAGAAAAAAAGAAAAAGAAAAAAAGGAAAGAAAGUAGCAUUGUAGCCAUUGUUUCCAAAGAAGAAAUGUUGGCAUUCGUGAUAUUUAGAGCUAUAAAAUCUGAAAAUGAUAAGAUGUGGAAGGUUGAGUGAGACCCACAUUUCUACUACUGAGACAUAUACUGGGAGUGAGAGGGGGAAUGCUUGAGCCCACCAGAAGGAAUAGCUUUCUUAUCCAGAAGUAGCUGAUAAUUAAGAGCUACAGUUCUGUACCUACAAGAAAUAAGGGUUCAGAACCUGAAACUGUGCUUUAAGCAGAAACUGAAACCAAAUAUCUCAGUGCAGAUGACUGGAUCACCAUUUUCUCUUGAAGAACCUCUGGCCCUUUUUGUUAUGUUAGAGCACUCAAGCCAUGAGGACUGACAAAAGGUUUCCAACUUCUAUCAUCUCCAACAAACAGCUUAAGUUUUUUAAGGUUUUCAUCCAAAAAUAAAGGUCAUUAAAGUGACUUAAGCCUUUCAGAGUGCUCGUUUGGAGUUCCUCUUCUCAGUAGAGGAGCUUAGACUCUUCCUGAGAUACACUUCAGGUUCUGAGUGUUAUUCUGGAUUUUGUCCAGAAUGAACAAGUGGUGGGGGACAGGAAUGCAAUCCGCAGAUAAAAUGGGGACAUCAUUAACUUUCUGUCCUCAUUGUUAUUUUGAUUAGUGAGAUAUUUGGCCCCCAGAAGAUGGUGCAUUUGUAACGAAGAAGAUGCAAACAGCCUGUAAGGCAUGCUAUAAAUUUGAGAGACUGGAAAAUUGGGCUAGUGCCCAGAUGAAUGAUUAUUUUUUAAAAGAAAUGCAUUUAUAUCUCUCCUUUCUAACUGAAAAUACGUGUCAGUACUUAGAGACAGGAAAACCUUCUUUAUCCUUAUCUCUGCUGCGUGUCCUUUUUUUUCUGAGACUUCUCCAUCUUCAGAUAUGGCACACACAUCCCUUCUAACACACCAUAUUUCAAAGUAGCAGAGUCCUGGCCUAGCAUCCUGGUGCUAACAUUCUGGAUGCCUUGCUGCAACAAGUCCUGAGCAGCAGCGUACAUGCCAAUAAAAUCCUGCUUACAUGCAAUGGUGAGUGAAAAUAGGAUUGAGGCUCUUCCCUCUGCCAGCCAUUUAACUUCUGUCCAAGGAAAUUCAAGUGAUAUGCAGCACUCCUGCUGAUGCUGAUUAAUUUCUAGAUCCACCUAGGGUAGCAAGAGAAAACUGAAGAUAUGGUGGGAGUAGAUAAUUUCUCAGAAUCUUUUCUCUGGACGUGCUCUGAAUGCAUUUAGAUAAAAAUGCCACUUCAUGAGUGAAAUAAAAGUGAAAGGCAGUUACGUUCCUGGAAAUGCAUCUGCGUAAGAGUUCAGAAGGCUUGUACGUAACGUGGUGACACAAACAGUGGGGCCUUGUAUGCUUGUCACAGUGCCCUAUGGCCAGCAACAAAAACACAGGCAUUUCUAAAUUAAAAGAUCAUUUCUGUAUUAAUUUAUAACUCAGGUACACACAGGGCUAACUAUUUUCCAGAGGCC